CCCUUAGAUGUUCUGGGCCGCACGCGCGCCACACUGAUGCAUUCAACGAGUCUAAAACCUGGUCUGAGAGGGCUGGGUAAUCUUUUGAAAGUGCAUCGUGAUUGGGAUAGAUGAUUGCAAUUCUUCAUCUUCAACGAGGAAUGCCUAGUAAACGCAAGUCAUCAGCUUGCAUUGAUUACGUCCCUGCCCUUUGUACACACCGCCCGUCGCUCCUACCGAUUGAACGAUCCGAUGAAAACUGUGGAUUGAGAGUCUGAGUGGGUUCGCCUACCUCAACUUUCGAGAAGCGGUUUAAAUCUUAUCGUUUAGAGGAAGGAGAAGUCGUAACA
rnacentral:rRNA from 1 species